CCUGAUCAACCAUCAAAGAAGGAUCAGCGCAGUACUAGCAUACUGUGCUGAUUUCCUGAAGCAGGACUUCUGAUCGAGAUUCAUGGGCUCGUGUGGAUGACUCCUAGAGGCCGGACGUAUGUGCGGCUUGCAACAUCAUCCUCAAGCCCAGAUCAGCAAGGUUAGAGCAUCUAACUUGCAAGGUAAUAGAUCUGAUCUAUUGUUUAAUACAUACAUUAGAUGUGGUAUAGAAAUAUGUUGAUAUGAUCAACAUGUAGUUCAUGCUAUAUUUAUAUAUU
rnacentral:lncRNA from 1 species